UACGAAGGGAGCUAGCGUUGUUCGGAAUCACUGGGCGUAAAGCGCACGUAGGCGGAUGUGUCAGUCAGGGGUGAAAUCCCGGAGCUCAACUUCGGAACUGCCUUUGAUACAGCACGUCUUGAGUCCGAUAGAGGUGGGUGGAAUUCCUAGUGUAGAGGUGAAAUGCGUAGAGAUCCGGAGGAACACCGAAGGCGAAGGCAGUGUCCUGGCGCGUAACUGACGCUGAGGUGCGAAAGCCAGGGGAGCGAACGGG
rnacentral:rRNA from 1 species